CCCAGAUGGCAGGAAGCAGGAGGAAGACCCUCUUGGGACCCUGCAGUGACUCAACAAAUGGGCUGUCCCAGAGAGCCCUAUUUGGAUGCAGGCCACACACUGGGAACAAAUGGCCUGUCGGUGUCAAAUGGAGGAUUACAGAGUAAGAGCAGCCAAGCAAGUAAAUGAGCUCUGCCUCCCUUUCUCUCCCAGCCCCACAGUGAAGAAGAGCAUUCUGGGAGUCGGUGUUGAUAGAAUCAGAGGAAGCCAGACUGCCCUACAGAGCAGCCAAACUCUUGGCCUGGGCUGCCCAGGGAAUCAAUUGGGGGCUGAGUCUCCACAGCCGGCGGAAGUCUGUGGAAACAGAGGGUGCAGUGACUGUGAGGAGGAGCGCUCCAGGUGGCAGACGCAGGUGACCGCGCCUGCUGAGGAAGCAGAGGCAGCUGGACGAGCACAGACGAGGAUCUCAGGACCACGGAGAAGCAAAACAACGUUGGGUUAUGAGAACCGCUGCAUCUCGGAAAGAAGUGAAGAGUACAGCUUUACGGGACCACCAUUCUGUAAAUCACAUUCCUGGGAACAGGAGGAGCUGCUGCAGGGGAGGAUUGGCCCUCCAAGUUUGCAGCACACAGGGCAACACUACAGAGAGCCCGCGGGGAGAGGGGCCCUGCUUCCAGGGAUGGCGUCUUGGCUCAUUUCAGGCCACAGACAUAGUGGAGGUCAAGCCUGGCGCCCACCUCUUCUCACAUGA
rnacentral:lncRNA from 1 species